rnacentral:misc_RNA from 1 species
GAGUUCAGUAGUGGAAGUUAGAGUAACCUGGUGCAUGUCGUUGGUGGGAGGUGACACUGAAAUUAGUUGAGGUGAGCGCAAUCUGGCCUGAACACCACGAUUAUCAAGAAAAAGAAAGAGUUGAGUAGUUGAAGAAACGGGUUCACAUUAAGUAGAAUGGAUAUAGAGGAUUCAUAUAGUCAAUCUCAACAUUGAGAUAGCAGUGUAUUAUCU